rnacentral:lncRNA from 1 species
GAGCUCUGUCCAGUGGGGACCUCACCUGCAUGGUCACCAGAGAGAGAAAGACUAUGAAUUCAGGCUAAUUAGGGACUUGCCCCAGUUAGGACCCAGCCUCCAUUCUGGGUCUGGGGACAAGGGCCUGCAGAGCGGGGUCCCUGCGGCGGGCUCUCCCACCUCAGCUCACAGCUGCGUGUCGGGGGUCUUAGCCCUACACCCUUCUCGGGGCCAGUGCUGUCUUGUGUCCCUUACCAGAUUGUAAGCUCUGCGAGGGCUGGGAGCCCCCAGGGCCACACUGGGCCUUUGUGCCACAAGCACCGGGUGCACAGCCGAGGCCCCGCCCUCUGGCUGACUCGGAGCAGCCCAGCCAGGCAGCGGGCAACCAGGAAGGAACAAGGCAGACCCCCUGGCUUUGAGCAGAGAACAGGAGGCCCUCCGGAGAGGCCGGCGGUCCACGAGGGCGACUGUGAAACCAGGGACCCUGAGGAGACUUCUCUCCUUCACCUGAACUCUACGAGGAGAUGGAGCCUGGGUGCCAGGAGAGACCCCUGUGCCCGUCCCUCUCCUCCGGGAGCCAAGACGAAUGUGGGUGAGCCUCUCCUGGAUCUCGGCUCUCCCGUGUUGGUUGAUGAUCCUGAGUUUUAUUUGGCCGGGUGUAAUGGGUACCUGCCCCCUCAGGGGAAAGAUACUGGGGGUGCUGGUUGAAAGAUACCGGGGGAUACCCCCAAGCAGAGAUGCUGGGAGGACGCUGGCCAGGGACACCUCCUCAGUGGAGAAUACUGGGGGGAGAGAAUACCCCUUGGCGGAGAUGCUGCGGGGGGCGGGGGGUGUGUGUGUGUUCAGUUGAAAAGAUACUGGGGACCAUACCUCGACAGUGGAGACACUGGGGGCUCCUUUGAAAGACACUGAGGUUUGUUCAGUUGAAAGAGACUGAGUGGUCUGGGCUGAAUGUUUAGGUUAAGAGGCUGACCUGAUGCUUUUCCUCAGUUCAGCUGCAUUAAUGGAAUUUGUGGGGAUAAAGGUUAAGAUAUUACAUGAGAGCAUUUGCUCGAAAGAAAAGGGACAAGACUCCCCCAAGGGGGUUACGGUUUUCUCAAGUGACUGAGAAAUGUAACAACGGGAGGGUGGAGGCUGAAUCCUCGUGCCCUGCAGGGGUCCCACAGGGAGAGCCACACAUUUGUUAAAACUCGAUCUAUCAGGGACAUGUAUAGGAACUGGUGAUUUGAGCAGCCAUGGUGUCCCAGAUGCCACUGGGAGACCUGAGACCCGAUAAGAGGGGGCUGAAGCAACUCUGGGCAAAACCUAGAGGCAUUAAGCUCUCAAGCAGCACACUGGCCCACCACUCAAAUGUCAUAAGCAGACUUAGCCCCAACAAACUCAGCUGAGGUCUCUUAAACAAACAAAUAAAAACACGAAGGGUAUCAGGAAGCCAGCCUCCAACUAACACCUCAGCCAGGUUUGCAAGUACCUACUUAGUUGGGUAUUAAAGAAAAAAUUUUGCCCUGAAAAUAGCCAAAAAGGACUCUUUUUAUUGCAUAUGCAGUUGUGAGAGAGAGCUAGCUUAAAAGAGAGGAAAAAAUCCUUUCAAAAUUCUAACCUGAGGGAACGAGUCCUACUAGGAGACCCUGCUUCCUGUCCCUGAGCCUUGAGACCAGGCUCUCAGGAAGGCUUAUCUUAUCCAGACCGUCUCUAAUUCCUGAGACUGGGAAAAAAAAAAAAAAAA